UACACAUCGUCUUCCAUCUUUCAUAACGGACGCAACAUCUUCUUAUCCUCAACCCCCUGUUUGGUAUGCACAUCUCCUCACUCCAAUCGAAAUCUUUAAUAACCUCCAUCAGCCAUCCGCACCGCCCAAGCCGGCGGCAAUCUCUUCCUCCGUGCCACCCAAGAUGGAGGUAUUCUCUUCAUGCGUCCACACAGGUGGUGCCUGCCUUAACCGUCCGUCCGUGCCAGCCAAGCCGGCCACACAACCACCGGCCACCAAUGUCUAAAGUGGCGCUCCUCCAUUGACGUAAGUGCGGCCGCCUCGCCGCAACCUCAUGGCGCAGCACGCCUUAGUUUCUAUCUCCCUCCAAAGCAUCUGGAUCCAUUCCCUUCCUGUAGUAUUGUUGUUUGGGAUGGCCCUGUGCACCCGCCUCUCUUUGAUUUAGAUGCAGGCCGGCCGCACGCUGCUGGCAAUACGGUAGUUCUUACUCCAUUGAACCCAACGAGGUAUACAGUCCAGUCUACACUUUCUGUUAUAUUUUACCCAAAACAAUAUGACCUCACACAAAAGUGGACUGCUAUUGAAUCAUAAUCUCACAUGUGAAUGAUUGACAAUUUUUUCUCUAAUCUUGAUUGGGGCUAGUAUUUAUAACUGCAAAACUUUGCUCACUUUCAUGUUUGUUGCUUGGACUUCUCACACCUGUAAUUUGUUUUAAUUUAUAAAUUGUUUUAAUUUUCAAACAUAUUAUUCAUCAAUUAUGUAACACUGAAGUAAAGAUUGGCUUCGACA